AACUUCUCCUCUUACGUACCAACAACGCGGUUUCACUUUCUCCCUCCCAACCUUCAAAAAGCAAAGGCUUUCCUUCUUUUGCUUCUCUACUAUUCCAUCUUCCUUACAAACACAACUAGCAGCUUAGUUAGGGUUUCUGUUUUUGGUCUCUCAGAGCUUCAUCCAAAUCCCAACCCCUCUCUCUCCUCUCUUUCUAUCUUUCGUACAAAUUAAAUCAAAUGUGUCCUCUAAGGUUCAUCUUGGUCUUCUUCUCAGCAAUCCUUGCAGGAUACUUCGCGUGGAGGACGGUUUGUUCUUCUCCCGACGGAACCGACAUGAUGAUCUCACAGCUGGAUUCUACCAACAAUGAAAAUGCUAUAGGAUCACCCAAACAAGAAGAAGAUGCAUUCAAUUCUAAAACUAUGAUUCAGAGUGGCUUCUGGGUGUUUGUGGACAUGGCCAGCGGGAAAUACUUGUGGAGGAAUUUUAAGGAGAUGAACCAAGUCAAAGUAAAAUGUUAGUUGUUGAUUACCAAAUUGUACAAGCAUGCUUGUCUACUUUUUCCAAUCGAGGGUAUAUAAUUGUAAAACCGUGCAAAUUAAUCUUCUUGAUUUUAUUUUAAUUUCUUCCUAA